GCCGGGCGUGGUGGUGUGCGCCUGUAAUCCCAGCUACUCGGGAGGCUGAGGCAGGAGAAUCGCUUGAACCCGGGAGGCAGAGCUUGCAGUGAGCCAAGAUCGCGCCACCGCACUCCAGCCUGGGCAACAGAGCGAGACUCUGUCUCAA
rnacentral:SRP_RNA from 2 species